rnacentral:rRNA from 1 species
AUAACGCUGGCGGCGUGCAUAACACAUUCAAGUCGAACGAAGCACUUUAAACGGAGACUUCGGUCAAAGUUUUCUGUGACUUAGUGGCGGACGGGUGAGUAACGCGUGAGUAACCUGCCGUUCAGAGGGGGACAACAGUUGGAAACGACUGCUAAUACCGCAUAACGUACAGUUUUGGCAUCAUUACUGUACCAAAGGAGCAAUCCGCUGAAUGAUGGACUCGCGUCCGAUUAGAUAGUUGGUGAGGUAACGGCUCACCAAGUCGACGAUCGGUAGCCGGACUGAGAGGUUGAACGGCCACAUUGGGACUGAGACACGGCCCAGACUCCUACGGGAGGCAGCAGUGGGGGAUAUUGCACAAUGGAGGAAACUCUGAUGCAGCAACGCCGCGUGAGGGAAGAAGGUCUUCGGAUUGUAAACCUUUGUUUUUAGUGACGAAUAAAUGACGGUAGCUAAAGAGGAAGCCACGGCUAACUACGUG